UGAUUCUAAAAAAGAUCGCGAUCUAUAUUCACUUGUUAUUAAACAUAUGAUGCAUGGUCCUUGUGGAAAGGUAAAUCCUACAAAUAUUUGCAUGAAAAAUAAUAACUGCAAAUUCAAGUAUCCAAAAGAUUUUGCUGAACAAACAUCAAAAGGGAAGAAUUCAUAUCCAAUAUACAGAAGGAGAAGAACCAGAGAAGCUGUAGAAGUAAGAGCUGGUUCUACGUCAAGGAUACAUAUGGAAGGUACACAAAUUAUCAGCUACUAAUAAAAGGAAUUAAUGAUGAGAAGCCAUCAAUUAUGGGAGAGCCUAGCCAACAGAAUUCGACUUCAACUCAUGGAUCCUUUAAGAGAAAGCUCAUUCACAAAUGACAAAAGGUGGUAUAUUCUAGGACAUCAGUCUGGAAGAUUUUGUCAGAGGUUUGAGAAAGGAGAGCAAUCGAAAGUAGAUGCUGAAAAGAGCAGUUUUUUUUUUCUUUCACCUUUCCUUUUAUUAUACUCUAUCAUAUCUCACAUAACAUAUAUACUGCUUCAUUCUAAGGUCAUAAAGUAGAGAUGAGUGAAGUUAGCGUUGUUGAAUGGCCUCAGUUACUCUUUGGAUCAUGCCUCAAACUAUCAAAUCUCUCUUAGUAUCAUCUAUGUAUACUUUCAGAAUAUAUAAUUGUAUUGAAAAUUGCGAGAUAAAGUUGAGAUUAUAGUUGGUUCGUAAGCCUCGAGGGCACUCGGGGUCCAGUUACGCCUAAGUAUACUUUCCCAAUCAUAAUUGUUUGAAGAACAGGAUAUGUCUAUUGUGAUCUAAAAUCUUACGGUGGAAUUUUGCUGACCUACACAUACACUAGAAUAUGGAGACU